AGCGAACGCUGGCGGCAGGCUUAACACAUGCAAGUCGAGCGGGCACUUUCGGGUGUCAGCGGCGGACGGGUGAGUAACGCGUGGGAACGUGCCCUCUGGUUCGGAAUAACUCAGGGAAACUUGAGCUAAUACCGGAUACGCCCGUUUGGGGAAAGGCUUGCUGCCGGAGGAUCGGCCCGCGUCUGAUUAGCUAGUUGGUGAGGUAACGGCUCACCAAGGCGACGAUCAGUAGCUGGUCUGAGAGGAUGAUCAGCCACACUGGGACUGAGACACGGCCCAGACUCCUACGGGAGGGAGCAGUGGGGAAUAUUGGACAAUGGGCGCAAGCAUGAUCCAGCCAUGCCGCGUGAGUGAUGAAGGCCUGAGGGUUGUAAAGCUCUUUUAUCCGGGACGAUAGUGACGGUACCGGAGGAAUAAGCCCCGGCUAACUUCGUG
rnacentral:rRNA from 1 species